CAUUAACCAAUCAGCACCUGAGGCCACUCUAUAUAGGAGGGCAGUGCCCAUCUUGUCGCCCUCUCGCUCUUUGGCUCUGAGGCCCGCCCAUUUCCUGGUCGCCUCACUUCCUCCUUCCCACCGUUGCUGGUGCAGACGUCGGAUUGUCGGACACCGUGCCGAUGUAACCGCUCACGGGGAAUCUCCGUUCCGGCGCACGUGGCUUAUUGGCGGCCGCGGUUUGCAACCGCAGCCAUCUGAGCGUGAAGCUCUCCUCUCCUCUCCCGCAUGCGGUCUGACGCAGCCUGAUCGGUGCUGGAAGCUUACGGUGGUGGUCUUGGUGCCCUGGUGGUGGUGUCCCCUUUUGUGUGCUGUGUAACCCCCGGUUUUCAUUUGGUAUCCCCGUUGUGUGUGACACGAGUGACUGGGGUGCUCCUUUUCCUGGGAUUCCUCUCGCCUCCUCAUUGCCCCAUUCCCCUCCACUGGUAAGCUGCAGCCCUGUUAGUGUUCUCCCUUCCCUUCACAUCCCUGUAUGCAUGGUAUUUUUAUUAGGUAUUUUUAAUAACUCUUGUAAUAAAGCAUAUUGUAUUUUAACCAGAACCACGUCUCCCGCCUCAAGUAAAACUAACCUGUGUGCCUUGUAUUGGUACUAUAACUAUUUCCUGGGUGAAAUUCCCAGGGUGGCGUUGUCUGGCUUCCAUUGGGUUGUUUAUAAAUCUAACCAUUGUACCAACCCCACUCGUACGUGUGUGCUGCCACAUUCUGUUUUACUUUUGUGAUUGUCAAGUUGUUCAGACUCUAGCUACA